rnacentral:rRNA from 1 species
CUACGAUGAAGAGUUUGAUCCUGGCUCAGGAUGAACGCUAGCGGCAGGCCUAACACAUGCAAGUCGAACGGUAACAUAGAAAAGCUUGCUUUUCUGAUGACGAGUGGCGCACGGGUGCGUAACGCGUAUAGAACCUACCUUUUGCAGGGGGAUAGCCCGGAGAAAUUCGGAUUAAUACCCCGUAGUAUUAUCGAUUGGCAUCGAUUGAUAAUUAGAGAUUCAUCGGCAAAAGAUGGCUAUGCGUCCUAUUAGCUAGAUGGUGAGGUAACGGCUCACCAUGGCUACGAUAGGUAGGGGCCCUGAGAGGGGGAUCCCCCACACUGGUACUGAGACACGGACCAGACUCCUACGGGAGGCAGCAGUGAGGAAUAUUGGACAAUGGUCGAGAGACUGAUCCAGCCAUGCCGCGUGCAGGAAGACGGCCCUACGGGUUGUAAACUGCUUUUAUACGGGAAGAAUAAGGGGCACGUGUGCCCUGAUGACGGUACCGUAAGAAUAAGGACCGGCUAACUCCGUGCCAGCAGCCGCGGUAAUACGGAGGGUCCGAGCGUUAUCCGGAAUCAUUGGGUUUAAAGGGUCCGCAGGCGGGUCAGUAAGUCAGAGGUGAAAGUUUGCGGCUCAACCGUAAAAUUGCCUUUGAUACUGCUGGUCUUGAGUUACAGUGAAGUGGCUGGAAUAUGUGGUGUAGCGGUGAAAUGCAUAGAGAUCACAUAGAACACCGAUUGCGAAGGCAGGUCACUAACUGUAUACUGACGCUGAUGGACGAAAGCGUGGGGAGCGAACGGGAUUAGAUACCCCGGUAGUCCACGCCGUAAACGAUGGACACUAGCUGUCGGGCAUUAGCUCGGUGGCCAAGCGAAAGUGAUAAGUGUCCCACCUGGGGAGUACGUCGGCAACGAUGAAACUCAAAGGAAUUGACGGGGGCCCGCACAAGCGGUGGAGCAUGUGGUUUAAUUCGAUGAUACGCGAGGAACCUUACCAGGGCUUAAAUGGGGAGUGACAGGCUUAGAGAUAGGCUUUUCUUCGGACACUCUUCAAGGUGCUGCAUGGUUGUCGUCAGCUCGUGCCGUGAGGUGUCAGGUUAAGUCCUAUAACGAGCGCAACCCCUACCGUUAGUUGCCAGCAUGUCAAGAUGGGGACUCUAACGGAACUGCCGGUGCAAACCGUGAGGAAGGUGGGGAUGACGUCAAAUCAUCACGGCCCUUACGUCCUGGGCUACACACGUGCUACAAUGGCCGGUACAAUGAGCAGCCACUACGCAAGUAGGAGCGAAUCUAUAAAACCGGUCACAGUUCGGAUCGAGGUCUGCAACCCGACCUCGUGAAGCUGGAAUCGCUAGUAAUCGGAUAUCAGCCAUGAUCCGGUGAAUACGUUCCCGGGCCUUGUACACACCGCCCGUCAAGCCAUGGAAGCCGGGAGUGCCUGAAGUCCGUCACCGCAAGGAGCGGCCUAGGGCAAGAUCGGUAACUAGGGCUAAGUCGUAACAAGGUAGCCGUACCGGAAGGUGCGGCUGGAACACCUCCUUUCU